rnacentral:rRNA from 1 species
UACAGAGGGUGCGAGCGUUGUCCGGAAUCACUGGGCGUAAAGGGCGCGUAGGUGGCCUGGUAAGUAGGGGGUGAAAUCUCGCGGCUCAACCGCGAGGCUGCCUCCUAAACUGUCAGGCUUGAGCAGAGUAGAGGCAGGUGGAAUUCCCGGUGUAGCGGUGGAAUGCGUAGAGAUCGGGAAGAACAUCGGUGGCGAAGGCGGCUCACUGGCCCGGUACUGACGCUGAGGUGCGAAAGCGUGGGGAGCAAACAGG